rnacentral:sRNA from 1 species
GAAGCUAUGUGAAGAACAGAAGUGCCCAGAAAAAAAAGUCCAGACAUUAGAGACGGGGUUUCACCGUGUUAGCCAAGAUGGUCUCGAUCUCCUGACCUCGUGAUCCACCCACCUCGACCUCCCAAAGUGCUGGGAUUACAGGCGUGAGCCACCGCGCCCGGCCGAUAAAUUCUUAUUAAGGGAAAGCAAGUGGCUUCAGCACAUGCAGAACCAAACCCUGAACACAGAAGAUCAAGUUUCAUGCAGGAAGAUUUGAACGCUUUGACCUUUUUUAAGAAAUGUGUUUAUUGCUUUUGCUUCUUUAUUCUUCAUCCUGGUUUCAAUUACAACUUUUUGCCUGGAAACACAUGAAGCUUUCAAUAUUGUUAAAAACAAGACAGAACCAGUCAUCAAUGGCACAAGUGUUGUUCUACAGUAUGAAAUUGAAACGGAUCCUGCCUUGACGUAUGUAGAAGGAGUGUGUGUGGUGUGGUUUACUUUUGAAUUUUUAGUCCGUAUUGUUUUUUCACCCAAUAAACUUGAAUUCAUCAAAAA